AAUGACUCGACCAGGAUGGAAACUUACCCGAAUCCUUCUCAUGGCAGCUACUAUUUCCACACGGCUGUUGGGUCGAGCGACAUCCAGACUUCCAAUAUACUGCCAAAGACACCACAACAACAAGAACAACAGGAUUUGUGUUUGUCUUGGUGUGGAGGUGAGUGGUCUGUCGCUGUCUGAGAUGCUCCAGCACUGCUCGACUGGUACCACCUUCUCUCAGAAUGAGAGAGAGAAGAACAGGAGGAGAUCAAAUGCUUACCAAUAACUCAUCACUGUCUGAGCACUUUGACAGAUAUCCAGUCCAUCCAUGCAUCAUGUCACCAUGGUGAAGUUAUGAGCUUCUGUACAAACAACGUUACCACAUGAACACCAACAGCCAUAAUUUCACUUCCUCUUACAACACAA